rnacentral:rRNA from 1 species
AACGAACGCUGGCGGCAGGCUUAACACAUGCAAGUCGAACGCCCCGCAAGGGGCUUGGCAGACGGGUGAGUAACGCGUGGGAACAUACCCUUUUCUACGGAAUAGCUCUGGGAAACUGGAAUUAAUACCGUAUACGCCCUACGGGGGAAGAAUUUCUCGGGGAAGGUUUGGCCGGCGUUGGAUUAGCUAGUUGGUGGGGUAAAGGCCUACCAAGGCGACGAUCCAUAGCUGGGCUGAGAGGAUGAUCAGCCACAUUGGGACUGAGACACGGCCCAAACUCCGACGGGAGGCAGCAGUGGGGAAUAUUGGACAAUGGGCGCAAGCCUGAUCCAGCCAUGCCGCGUGAGUGAUGAAGGCCUUAGGGUUGUAAAGCUCUUUCACCGAUGAAGAUAAUGACGGUAGUCGGAGAAGAAGCCCCGGCUAACUUCGUG